rnacentral:pre_miRNA from 1 species
GUUUUUCUCCUGGUGUUCACUGUAGGCCUGUAUGUUCUUUUACGGAUUUCAUAAGGCACGCGGUGAAUGCCAAGAGCGGACGA